UGGCUCAGGCUGGUGCACCAUCCAUAUGCUAGUUAUGAUUAGUGGCGGACGGGUGAGUAACAUUUAGGAAUCUGCCUAGUAGUGGGGGAUAGCUCGGGGAAACUCGAAUUAAUACCGCAUACGACCUACGGGUGAAAGGGGGCGCAAGCUCUUGCUAUUAGAUGAGCCUAAAUCAGAUUAGCUAGUUGGUGGGGUAAAGGCCCACCAAGGCGACGAUCUGUAACUGGUCUGAGAGGAUGAUCAGUCACACCGGAACUGAGACACGGUCCGGACUCCUACGGGAGGCAGCAGUGGGGAAUAUUGGACAAUGGGGGCAACCCUGAUCCAGCCAUGCCGCGUGUGUGAAGAAGGCCUUUUGGUUGUAAAGCACUUUAAGCAGGGAGGAGAGGCUAAUGGUUAAUACCCAUUAGAUUAGACGUUACCUGCAGAAUAAGCACCGGCUAACUCUGUGCCAGCAGCCGCGGUAAUACAGAGGGUGCGAGCGUUAAUCGGAAUUACUGGGCGUAAAGCGAGUGUAGGUGGCUCAUUAAGUCACAUGUGAAAUCCCCGGGCUUAACCUGGGAACUGCAUGUGAUACUGGUGGUGCUAGAAUAUGUGAGAGGGAAGUAGAAUUCCAGGUGUAGCGGUGAAAUGCGUAGAGAUCUGGAGGAAUACCGAUGGCGAAGGCAGCUUCCUGGCAUAAUAUUGACACUGAGAUUCGAAAGCGUGGGUAGCAAACAGGAUUAGAUACCCUGGUAGUCCACGCCGUAAACGAUGUCUACUAGCCGUUGGGGUCCUUGAGACUUUAGUGGCGCAGUUAACGCGAUAAGUAGACCGCCUGGGGAGUACGGCCGCAAGGUUAAAACUCAAAUGAAUUGACGGGGGCCCGCACAAGCGGUGGAGCAUGUGGUUUAAUUCGAUGCAACGCGAAGAACCUUACCUGGUCUUGACAUAGUGAGAAUCCUGCAGAGAUGCGGGAGUGCCUUCGGAAUUCACAUACAGGUGCUGCAUGGCUGUCGUCAGCUCGUGUCGUGAGAUGUUGGG
rnacentral:rRNA from 1 species